UACGUAGGGCGCAAGCGUUGUCCGGAAUUAUUGGGCGUAAAGAGCUCGUAGGCGGCUUGUCACGUCGGGUGUGAAAGCUCGGGGCUUAACCCCGGGUCUGCAUUCGAUACGGGCUGGCUGGAGUGUGGUAGGGGAGAUCGGAAUUCCUGGUGUAGCGGUGAAAUGCGCAGAUAUCAGGAGGAACACCGGCGGCGAAGGCGGCACUCUGGGCCGGUACUGACGCUGAGGAGCGAAAGCGUGGGUAGCAAACAGG
rnacentral:rRNA from 1 species